rnacentral:rRNA from 1 species
UACGUAGGGUGCGAGCGUUGUCCGGAAUUACUGGGCGUAAAGAGCUCGUAGGUGGUUUGUCGCGUUGUUCGUGAAAACUCACAGCUCAACUGUGGGCGUGCGGGCGAUACGGGCAGACUGGAGUACUGCAGGGGAGACUGGAAUUCCUGGUGUAGCGGUGGAAUGCGCAGAUAUCAGGAGGAACACCUAUAGCGAAGGCAGCUCGCUGGGACGACACUGACGCUGAGACGCGAAAGCGUGGGGAGCGAACAGG